AUUGAACGCUGGCGGCAUGCCUUACACAUGCAAGUCGAACGGCAGCACGGGUGCUUGCACCUGGUGGCGAGUGGCGAACGGGUGAGUAAUACAUCGGAACAUACCUUAUCGUGGGGGAUAACGCAGCGAAAGCUGUGCUAAUACCGCAUACGCCCUGAGGGGGAAAGCGGGGGAUCGAAAGACCUCGCGCGAUUAGAGCGGCCGAUGCCUGAUUAGCUUGUUGGUGGGGUAAAAGCCCACCAAGGCGACGAUCAGUCGCUGGUCUGAGAGGACGAUCAGCCACACUGGGACUGAGACACGGCCCAGACUCCUACGGGAGGCAGCAGUGGGGAAUUUUGGACAAUGGGGGCAACCCUGAUCCAGCAAUGCCGCGUGAGUGAAGAAGGCCUUCGGGUUGUAAAGCUCUUUUGUCAGGGAAGAAACACCGGCUCUAACACAGUCCGGGAAUGACGGUACCUGAAGAAUAAGCACCGGCUAACUACGUGCCAGCAGCCGCAGUAA
rnacentral:rRNA from 1 species